rnacentral:rRNA from 1 species
CCCUUAGAUGUUCUGGGCCGCACGCGUGCUACACUGAGUGGAUCAGCGGGUCAGGUUGCGCGAAAGCGUUUCCUAAUCUUUAAAUCCGCUCGUGAUGGGGAUUGACGGUUGCAAUUUUCUGUCAUGAACGAGGAAUACCUUGUAAGCGCGGGUCAUCAUCCCGCGCUGAAUACGUCCCUGCCCUUUGUACACACCGCCCGUCGCUCCUACCGAUUGAGUGUUCCGGUGAAUAAUUCGGACUGCAGUAGCGUGAGGACUCCUCACCUGCAGCGGAAAGUUUGGUGAACCUUAACACUUAGAGGAAGGAGAAGUCGUAACA